CUCCAGUUAGCCUAGUGGUUAAAGCUACGGAUCGCCAAUCCGAAAACGGCGGGCUCGAUUCCCGUUCUGGUCA
rfam:Aedes albopictus isolate Foshan contig89259, whole genome shotgun sequence.